rnacentral:rRNA from 1 species
CACGUGUGCGGUUUGGAGAGUACCCGGAGAAAAAGCAUCGGCUAACUCCGUGCCAGCAGCCGCGGUAAUACGGAGGAUGCGAGCGUUAUCCGGAUUUAUUGGGUUUAAAGGGUGCGUAGGCGGACGCUUAAGUCAGCGGUAAAAUUGCGGGGCUCAACCUCGUCGAGCCGUUGAAACUGGGUGCCUUGAGUGGGCGAGAAGUACGCGGAAUGCGUGGUGUAGCGGUGAAAUGCAUAGAUAUCACGCAGAACUCCGAUUGCGAAGGCAGCGUACCGGCGCCCAACUGACGCUGAAGCACGAAGGCGUGGGUAUCGAACAGGAUUAGAUACCCUGGUAGUCCACGCAGUAAACGAUGAAUGCUAGUUGUCCGGGGCGAUUGAG